UUCUCUCGCUACCCCCAGCACUAAAAAAAAACUUUUUUUUUUUUUAAUUUAACAAGAAGAAAGAAAGACUUCGCUAAUCGCUUCAUCCAGCACUGGUCCGUACAUCCAUGGCGACACCUGUUCCUCGUCUUCCGACAAGCGGACUCUCCAAGUCGAAGAAGUCAGUAUUCCCGCCGAAGCGAGGGAGGAUCAAGCAAGAGAUCUUCGGCGGCUUGGCCAGGUCCAUCGCUUCCGCCGCCGCGAGAGCCGGCGGAACCUUCGGAAUAGCUUCCGGAGACGACGACGUCGGUGGCGGCGGCUUAUCGGCUUCCUCUGCAUCCACUACUCCGCCGACGAGCGGAUACGCCUCCGAGGAGAACAAGCAAGCCUCUUAAUUAAAAGCUCGAAAGCAGAGAAGAUGACAAUUGCAAAACUGCCAUUGUUUCGUCCGCCAUGGAUUUGGUUUGGGAUCUGGAAGCAAGCUUCAGUGUUCUGUCGUUUUUGAAACAGAACAGAGCUUCUUCAUCGGGUUCGGUUCAGUCCGGUUAGGCUAGGGCCGGUUUAAUUUGGUUUGACUGUGUUGUGGUUUGGUACGACCGGUUAGCGGGAAUAGUUAAGUUAUGUGGUUAAUUAUAAUCACUAAUUAGUGAUUAAUGGUGUCAUUAGUGCAUGUCAAAUUGUCAAUGUUUUUGGGAACAAAACCUCUCUCUAAUUGUUGUUUCUACGAUGUUUUAGGAAGGGAAAUAAUGAUAUGCUUGUCUGAUGGAGAGAGGUUCUUGUUCUGUUUGGUUUGGGUCUUCCCAUGUUUUAUUUCUUUUAAAUCCGAUGUAUAAAUAUACGAGUUUUUUUAUUA